AUGAUUUUGGUGAUGCAAGUUAUAUAAUAACAGAGUAUUUUUAUAAAAUUAGUAUAUACUAGCUACAUUUGAACAUUGCACAAAUAAUACUAGAUUUAUAUCAACAAAAUAUAGUUCUUUUAUAUAUUAGGACCAAUAGGUUUGGCUUGUGUUCUACGUCGUGCUAACUCGGACAUGACAACAGGGCCAAUAUGAGGUGAUCUUGGACUGCUAGACAUUGC